UGGGGAAUAUUGGACAAUGGGCGGAAGCCUGAUCCAGCCAUGCCGCGUGUGUGAAGAAGGCCUUUUGGUUGUAAAGCACUUUAAGCGAGGAGGAGGCUACUUGGAUUAAUACUCUAGGAUAGUGGACGUUACUCGCAGAAUAAGCACCGGCUAACUCUGUGCCAGCAGCCGCGGUAAUACAGAGGGUUCGAGCGUUAAUCGGAUUUACUGGGCGUAAAGCGUGCGUAGGCGGCUUCUUAAGUCGGAUGUGAAAUCCUUGAGCUUAACUUAGGAAUUGCAUUCGAUACUGGGAAGCUAGAGUAUGGGAGAGGAUGGUAGAAUUCCAGGUGUAGCGGUGAAAUGCGUAGAGAUCUGGAGGAAUACCGAUGGCGAAGGCAGCCAUCUGGCCUAAUACUGACGCUGAGGUACGAAAGCAUGGGGAGAAAACAGG
rnacentral:rRNA from 1 species